rnacentral:lncRNA from 10 species
ACUGGGCUUAUAUCAUAUGUUGUUCAAAUAAACAACUCUUUUUGGUGUUUUCUAAGACACUAGUCAUAACCAGGGUUGAUUAGCACUGAAAACAGAAAUGCACGUUUUUCAAGAAAAUCUUGAAGUGUGCACUUCAUAGUAAUUUUCCUGUUACUUCAGAAAAUUUCUCUUUCAAGAUGACCUUAAAAGACAUAUAGUAGAAAUACCACUGGAUUGAGUAAGAAGCACCAGAAUUAUUCUUCCUUUGCAUGUUACAAGUUUUGAGUCCUGGGGUAUCAUUUGAUUUUUCUGUAUUUCAGUUUCCUUGUUGGUAAAAUGAGAUUGUCUAGACUAGAUUGAAGUAGCAAAUAGGUUUUAACUCCUGUGCCAGAUCUAAUGAUUGGUAGCAUCUUCCUAAAGUAAUGUGUUCAGAAGAAUUCUGAGACUCCAUAGGAAAGAUCACUAUAAUCAUUUAAACAGUAUCUGGCACGGACAAGGGAAUAAGUGUGGAAGCUUUUAUGUAAGACAUUUUGUAUCCCUGGGCCAAAUGAUCUCUUAAAUUCCUUUCCAAUUCCAAACAAUGUAACAUAAAUAUAAAAAAACAAGGAACACAUCAAAUAAAUGUAAAGCACAUUAAUAAAUGACAAAAAACAUUCACUACUAUAAGAAUAGCACCAAGCCUUUCACGAGGAAUCCUCCUCCAUUUCCCAAACACCUUUCACUAGGCCCCUCCUCCCAACACUGCCACACUGGGGACCAAAUUUCAAGGUGUUGUGGUGGGACCAAAGCAAUCAUCCAAAUGCUAUCCAAACCAAAGCAUUCUUCCCCUCCCCCUCAACUCAUAUUCUUCUCACAUACGUCAUUUCAUCUCAGUAGUCUCAAAAGUCUUAACUUGUCCCAGCAUUAACUCUAAAGUCCAAAAUCCAGUCUCAUUGAAGACUCAGGCAAGUUCCUUUCAGCUAUGAGCCUAAUUGUGGAGGCUGGCAAGUUUG